AUCUCUUCUCGGCCUUUUGGCUGAGAUCAAGUGUAGUAUCUGUUCUUAUCAGUUUAAUAUCUGAUACGUCCUCUAUCUGAGGACAAUAUAGUAAAUGGAUUUUUAAAUGUGGGAGAUGGAAUGGGAGCUUGCUCCGUCCAUUCCACGCAUCGACCCAGUAUUGCAGUACUUCUGGGAAAGGUGCACUUGCC
rnacentral:snRNA from 1 species